GGCGCCGUAGCUUGGUUGGUUCUAACGCCUGUCUGGUAAACAGGAUAUCACGGGUUUGAUCUCACGUCGGUGCCU